rnacentral:rRNA from 1 species
AUGGGUUCAGCUGGGGAUGAGUUCACCCCACUGUCUCAGUUAGAAUAUGGAAUGGACAAAUGUAAAGUGCGGGUGCGCGUCUCGCGGCUGUGGGAGUCCUUCAAUCCAAAAGAUGACACUUUGUUCGGCCUUGACUGCCUUCUGAUCGAUGAUCAGGGUAAAACUAUGCAGGCGCGUGUAGAACCCGGCGAUAUAGAGUGGUUUGAAGAUCUGCUAGUUGAAGGGAAGGUCUAUGCCUUGUCAGAUUUUCAUGUUGAUUCGCAGAGAGACUACUAUAUGUCCUGUAGCAAUGAGUGGACUAUGUACUUUGGGAGGCAGACGGUGGUCACUGAGAUAGAGGUAGAUAUUGAUUCGAUACCCCUCCACAGCUUUGAGUUUGUGAAAUUUAAGGAUCUCCGUUAUAGGUGCGACGACAACAGCUUAUUGACAGAUGUUCUGGGUCACGUAGUGUAUGCCGGGGAGCUACAGGAAGUCUUGAAAAAAUCACGUGUUAUAGAAAUUUGCAAUGCAAGAAUUCGGGAUUUGAGAGGAAGGGCACUGAGUGUCACACUAUAUGGAGAUAUUGCUUCUGGUUUUGCUGAGGAUAUGCUGGAGAAAGGCCAAGACACCUCACUUGUUGUUGUCUUUGCGGGGAUGUCUGUUACUUCCUCAUCAUCAGUUUGCUCUACAACAUCUUAA